GCCCAGUUAGCUCAGUUAGAGCGUCGUGCUAAUAACGCGAAGGUCGCGGGUUCGAUCCCCUCAUGGGCCA
rnacentral:tRNA from 1 species